rnacentral:rRNA from 1 species
UGAGGAAUAUUGGGCAAUGCCCGCAAGGGUGACCCAGCAACGCCGCGUGGAGGAUGAAUGUCGUAAGAUUGUAAACUCCUGUUAGAGGGGAAGAAUAGUACCGGUUGGACCGGUAUAUGACUGUACCCUCAGAGAAAGCCCCGGCUAACUACGUGCCAGCAGCCGCGGUAAUACGUAGGGGGCAAGCGUUGUCCGGAUUUACUGGGUGUAAAGGGCGCGCAGGCGGGAUAAAAAGUCAGUGGUGAAAUCCUACAGCUUAACUGUAGAACUGCCUUUGAUACUUUUAUUCUUGAGUUCGGGAGAGAGAGACGGAAUUCCAGGUGUAGUGGUGAAAUACGUAGAUAUCUGGAAGAACACCAGUUGUGAAGGCGGUCUCUUGGUCCGACACUGACGCUGAGGCGCGAAAGCGUGGGGAGCAAACA